rnacentral:rRNA from 1 species
AUAGCGUAUAUUAAAGUUGUUGCAGUUAAAAAGCUCGUAGUUGGAUUUCAAGGAACAUUAAUAGGAAACUAUUAAUAUCCUAUCAGUCUUUGACUGUUACUGUGAGAAAAUUAGAGUGUUUCAAGCAGGCUGUUGCCCGAAUACAUUAGCAUGGAAUAACGAAUGUGUCUAGAAUCUUGGUUAAUUCUAGAUUACGAUUAAUAGGGACAGUUGGGGGCAUUAGUAUUUAAUUGUCAGAGGUGAAAUUCUUGGAUUUGUUAAAGACUAACGUAUG